GAAUAACGUAUAUUUGUUCAAUAGAGUAGUUUAUUAGGAUUAUAUGUACUCAAAGUAGAAGUAAGGCGAAGUAUCUCAUAUAAGUGUCUAUCGAAAUAUAUCAAAUAAGGUUUUCAUAUAUUGCCAAAAAGGCGCUGUAGCUAGAGGCUAUUAUCAGAAAUUUGCUUUUAUUAAUUGUAAUUUUUAAAUAUGAUUAACAGAAUAAUUUGAAAAUAGCGCCCUUUGAUUGUUAACAUUAACUCUCUUAACAUGUUUUUUCUACCCAAAAUAGUUAACGUUUCACCCUCUAGCUCAGACUGGGCACACGCAUUUCAUACAUUUUGUGAAACACUUUUUAUACACUAAGAUACAUCUCUUUGCCUCUACACUAUACAAUUCUAUGUUACAUGCAUAAAGGCGGAGCUAGAUAUUAACUCGAGAUUUUAAUUAUCCGAAACGCAAUACUAUGUUCAUAGAACUCCACGUGCAUUUGUUACGGAAUUAAAACUUCGUCGAAUAUCUUGCUAUAUACUAAGAAUUUGAUAUAUCUUAAGAUAGUCAUAAAACACUUUAUUU